GGGUUCAUGGUGCCUCCCACAAUUACAGGCCAAGCCAUAUAUAUAUAUAUAUAUAUAUAUAUAUAUAUAUAUAUAUAUAUAUAUAUAUAUUAUAUGUUGGAAGGCCAAUUGGCCUGAACUUGUGGGAGGAGUAAUGAUCCU